rnacentral:rRNA from 1 species
GUGAACGCUGGCGGUAGGCCUAACACAUGCAAGUCGAACGGCAGCACAGUAAGAGCUUGCUCUUACGGGUGGCGAGUGGCGGACGGGUGAGGAAUACAUCGGAAUCUACUUUUUCGUGGGGGAUAACGUAGGGAAACUUACGCUAAUACCGCAUACGACCUACGGGUGAAAGCAGGGGAUCUUCGGACCUUGCGCGAUUGAAUGGGCCGAUGUCGGAUUAGCUAGUUGGCGGGGUAAAGGCCCACCAAGGCGACGAUCCGUAGCUGGUCUGAGAGGAUGAUCAGCCGCACUGGAACUGGGACACGGUCCAGACUCCUAAGGGAGGCAGCAGUGGGGAAUAUUGGACAAUGGGCGCAAGCCUGAUCCAGCCAUACCGCGUGGGUGAAGAAGGCCUUCGGGUUGUAAAGCCCUUUUGUUGGGAAAGAAAAGCAGCAGGUUAAUACCCCGCUGUUCUGACGGUACCCAAAGAAUAAGCACCGGCUAACUUCGUG